rnacentral:rRNA from 1 species
GACGAACGCUGGCGGCGUGCUUAACACAUGCAAGUCGAGCGGCGCGGCGAACGGGUGAGUAACGCGUGAGUAACUGCCCCCCUCUCUGGGAUAACAGUUGGAAACGGCUGCUAAUAACGGCUAGUGGGGGAUGACUCGCGUCCUAUCAGCUUGUUGGUGGAGGAGUGGCUUACCAAGGGGACGACGGGUAGCCGGCCUGAGAGGGCAACCGGCCACAUUGGGCUGAGAGACGGCCCAAACGCCGACUGGAGGCAGCAGUGGGGAAUAUUGCACAAUGGGGGAAACUCUGAUGCAGCAACGCCGCGUGCGGGAUGACGGCCUUCGGGUUGAAAACCGCUUUCAGCCAUGACGCGGUAGUGGCAGAAGAAGCACCGGCUAACUACGUGCCAGCAGCCGCGGUAAUUC